GCAGUCGAGCGGGGUGAUUAAAGAAGAUUCUUCGGAUGAAACUUUAUGAGCCUAGCGGCGGACGGGUGAGUAACGCGUGGGAAACCUGCCCUAUACAGGGGGAUAGCCUCGGGAAACCGGGAUUAAUACCCCAUAAAACUCUAGCACCGCAUGGUGCAUGAGUCAAAACUCCGGUGGUAUAGGAUGGUCCCGCGUCCCAUUAGCUAGUUGGUGAGGUAAAAGCUCACCAAGGCGACGAUGGGUAGCCGGCCUGAGAGGGUGAUCGGCCACACUGGAACUGAGACACGGUCCAGACUCCUACGGGAGGCAGCAGUGGGGAAUAUUGCACAAUGGGGGAAACCCUGAUGCAGCGAUGCCGCGUGAGCGAUGAAGGUCUUCGGAUCGUAAAGCUCUGUCCUUAGGGAAGAAUAUUGACGGUACCUAAGGAGGAAGCCCCGGCUAACUACGUGCCAGCAGCCGCGGUAAUACGUAGGGGGCGAGCGUUGUCCGGAAUCACUGGGCGUAAAGGGAGCGUAGGCGGCUCUGUAAGUCAGGUGUUAAAGGCAUUGGCUCAACCAAUGUAAGCACUUGAAACUACAGGGCUUGAGUACAGGAGAGGAGAGUGGAAUUCCUAGUGUAGCGGUGAAAUGCGUAGAUAUUAGGAGGAACACCAGUGGCGAAGGCGACUCUCUGGACUGUUACUGACGCUGAGGCUCGAAAGCGUGGGGAGCAAACAGGAUUAGAUACCCUGGUAGUCCACGCCGUAAACGAUGAGUGCUAGGUGUUGGGGCCGACAGGUUU
rnacentral:rRNA from 1 species